rnacentral:rRNA from 1 species
CCUACGGGAGGCAGCAGUGGGGAAUAUUGCACAAUGGGGGAAACCCUGAUGCAGCGACGCCGCGUGAGUGAAGAAGUCAUUCGUUAUGUAAAGCUCUAUCAGCAGGGAAGAAAAUGACGGUACCUGAGUAAGAAGCCCCGGCUAACUACGUGCAAGCAGCCGCGGUACUACGUAGGGUGCAAGCGUUAUCCGGAUUUACUGGGUGUAAAGGGAGCGUAGACGGCAGUGCAAGUCUGGAGUGAAAGGCGGGGGCUCAACCCCCGGACUGCUCUGGAAACUGUACGGCUGGAGUGCAGGAGAGGUAAGCGGAAUGCCUAGUGUAGCGGUGAAAUGCGUAGAUAUGAGGAGGAACACCAGUGGCGAAGGCGGCUUACUGGACUGCAACUGACGUUGAGGCUCGAAAGCGUGGGGAGCAAACAGGAUUAGAUACCCGAGUAGUC